rnacentral:rRNA from 1 species
AUUGAACGCUGGCGGCAUGCUUUACACAUGCAAGUCGAACGGUAACAGGCCUUCGGGUGCUGACGAGUGGCGAACGGGUGAGUAAUGCAUCGGAACGUACCCAGAGGUGGGGGAUAACGCAGCGAAAGCUGUGCUAAUACCGCAUGUGAUCUGAGGAUGAAAGCGGGGGACCGAGCAGCAAUGUUUGGCCUCGCGCCUUUGGAGCGGCCGAUGUCGGAUUAGCUAGUUGGUGGGGUAAAGGCCUACCAAGGCGACGAUCCGUAGCUGGUCUGAGAGGACGACCAGCCACACUGGGACUGAGACACGGCCCAGACUCCUACGGGAGGCAGCAGUGGGGAAUUUUGGACAAUGGGCGCAAGCCUGAUCCAGCAAUGCCGCGUGCGGGAAGAAGGCCUUCGGGUUGUAAACCGCUUUUGGCAGGAACGAAAUGGUGUCCGCUAAUACCGGGCGCUAAUGACGGUACCUGCAGAAUAAGCACCGGCUAACUACGUG